rnacentral:rRNA from 1 species
AUGGAGGAAUCGAGGCCGAGGAGGGCGCAGCCGGCGCCGGCGAGGAUCCGCCCCGUGCCGAUCGCCGUCACGCCGGAGGGCUUCUGGUGCUGCCCCUCGCCAGCGGCGCUGCACAAGAGCCUCAAGAACCCGCAUCACCACCACGGCCACGCCGGCGGCAACAGCCACAGCCAUAGCCACAGCAAGCAGCAGCGCAAGAUCCCGUCGGCACCCCCAUCCGUGGCGCCCUCCGUGCAGAACGCGCCGUCCGUCACCGACGAGCCAGGGCGCCGGGAAGCUCCCGACGAGCAGAACGCGGCGGCGGCCGAGAUUGCGGCGGAUAAGCGGCCGGAGCAGGCUGGCGACGCGGAGGCUCAGCAGCACAAGAUCUGCGUUGGGUUCGGGCAGCCUGAGACGAGCGACCUGACGGUGAUGCUGUAUGGCAAGGAAGGGAUUACUGUCAGGAUGAGUGUGCAUAGGGACGUUCUCUCUGGAAGCAGCGCUUUCUUCGCCGAGAAGCUCUCUGACGGCGACAAUGGCCAUGGUGGCUCUCUGGUGCCAUGCGUGGAGAUCCAUGACUGCGACGAUGCCGAGAUCUAUGUGGAGACUGUCGGGCUGAUGUACUGCGACGAGGCGAAGCACAAGCUGCUCAAGCAGAAUGUGUCGCGUGUGCUUCGCAUCAUGAAGUGGCUAAAUUUGCAGGUUGCUGAAUUACUCGGUUUCCAUGCUUGUGUGAAGUCAUGCUUGGAUUAUUUGGAAGCAGUUCCUUGGGUCGGUGAGGAAGAAGACAGCGUUGUGUCGUCCAUACGACAUCUUCAGAGCAAGUCUUAUGGAGUUAGCCCUCUGCUGAAAAGAGUUACGUCUGACAGCCCGUACUCACCAACCGAUACUUUGUCUCAUAUUAUGGAGAUGGUCUUGAAGAGCAAUGAUGACAGGGGACGUCGGGAAAUGAAGGCCCUAGUUCUGAAUCUUCUCAAGGAUAGCAGCCGUUGCACAGAUGGAACAUCAGACAUCUGUUGUGAACUAUUUUACGGUUCGUGUCGAGGUUGCUUGGAAAGACUUCAGCCACUCUUUGUGGAAGCAUCUGAAGCAGGUUUUCCUUCCCAAGUUACACGCCAAAUAACUCUGGAGACUGACAAUAUCCUCUGGUUGGUUGAGAUAUUGGUUAACCAACGAAUUUGCGAUGAUUUUGUGGUCAUGUGGGCAAGCCAAAGUGAGCUUGCGUCAUUACAUGCAAAAUUGCCUAUCGCCUCUCGCCACACAGUUAGCAGUAUAACAGCAAGGCUCUUUGUUGGCAUCGGAAGAGGAGAAAUGCUUCCGUCCAAGGACACUCGUCUUCUCCUCCUGCAAGUCUGGCUGCAAGCACUCAUCGAUGACUACUCAUGGCUACAAUGCAGCUGCCGGUCAUUUGAUAGGAAGCUUGUCGAGGAAGGGAUUGGGCAGACAAUCCUGACACUUCCUUUGGAAGACCAGCGGUCUAUAUUACUGUCAUGGCUCGGGAGGUUCUUGAAAUUAGGCGAUAACUGCCCGAAUUUGCAGAGGGCGUUCGAGGUAUGGUGGAGAAGGACUUUCGUCAGACCUUAUGUCAACCAGGCAAGGUAA